GAUGAAGAACGUAGCGAAAUGCGAAAAGUAAUGUGAAUUGCAGAAUUCAGUGAAUCAUCGAAUCUUUGAACGCACAUUGCGCCCGCUGGUACUCCGGCGGGCACGCCUGUCCGAGCGUCAUUUCAACCCUCAAGCCCUCCUUCGGGAUGGGCCUGGUGUUGUGGCUCGGCCGCCAUCUCCGGCGGCCGUCCCCUAAAUACAGUGGCGGUCACGUCGCGACUCCUUUGCGUAGUAGAAACACCUCGCUCCGGAUAGCAACGCGGUCCACGCCGUAAAAUCCCCAAUUUUCAAUGGUUGACCUCGGAUCAGGUGGGAAUACCCGCUGAACUUAAGCAUAUCAAUAAGCGGAGGA
rnacentral:misc_RNA from 1 species